AGCGGAGGAAAAGAAACCAACAGGGAUUGCCUUAGUAGCGGCGAGUGAAGCGGCAAAAGCUCAAAUUUGAAAUCUGGCACCUUCGGUGUCCGAGUUGUAAUUUGAAGAUUGUAACCUUGGGGUUGGCUCUGUCUAUGUUUCUUGGAACAGGACGUCACAGAGGGUGAGAAUCCCGUGCGAUGAGAUGCCCAAUCCUAUGUAAGGUGCUUUCGAAGAGUCGAGUUGUUUGGGAAUGCAGCUCUAAGUGGGUGGUAAAUUCCAUCUAAAGCUAAAUAUUGGCGAGAGACCGAUAGCGAACAAGUACAGUGAUGGAAAGAUGAAAAGAACUUUGAAAAGAGAGUGAAAAAGUACGUGAAAUUGUUGAAAGGGAAGGGUUUGAGAUCAGACUCGAUAUUUUGUGAGCCUUGCCUUCGUGGCGGGGUGACCCGCAGCUUAUUGGGCCAGCAUCGGUUUGGGCGGUAGGAUAAUGGCGUAGGAAUGUGACUUUGCUUCGGUGAAGUGUUAUAGCCUGCGUUGAUGCUG
rnacentral:rRNA from 1 species